AAGUCGGUGAGGUAACCGCAAGGAGCCAGCCGCCGAAGGUGGGGUAGAUGACUGGGGUGAAGUCGUAACAAGGUAUCCGUACCGGAAGGUGCGGAUGGAUCACCUCCUUUCUAUGGAGA
rnacentral:rRNA from 1 species